CUCAAUACUGGAAGUAACCCUGACUGCUUGUAAAACAAAGAACCUUUUGUGAGAGGGGAGAAUUGUGACAUGAAAAUAUAUGACCUGUAGGUUGAGCGCCAUGAACCAAUUCCUGGAAUCUAACUAUGGAAUAAUAUCUGAGAGUCACCAUCCUCAAUUUCUGUGAUUCCACAAAGGUGUUUAUCAGUCUGAGAUCUAAUAUUGGUCUCUCCAUCCUCUCUUUUUUUAGGGUACCAGAAAAUACUUUGAGUAGAAUCCCUUCCCUCUCUGCUGGAAUGCAACUGUUUCUUUGGCUCCUAUGCAUAGAAGAGAGAUGACUUCUUGUCUCAGUAACUGUUCAUGAGAUAAAGAGGGUCGGUAAAGAGGGUGGGGUGAGGGAUAGAAGUGAAACAGAUUGAGUAACCUGAUGUUAUGGCCUCCAACACCCAUCUGUUAGAUGUAAUCUGUUCCCAAGCAGGUUGAAAAUGGGAGAAUCAUCUCCAAAGGGAGGGAGGUGAGUGCAAGUGAACGUUCAGGAGGUGGGGAUGUUCCAAGCCCUCAACUAAGCCAUCCAAAUUGACGGUUGGAUGAAGAGGACAGCUGUGUGGUGGUAGCAGUCACAGCAUGUAUAUGCUAAGGGCUCUAAGUGUGGCUCUGGAAUCUUUCAAAGUCUGGAGAGAUUCAUCUGUUGACUCAUAGGAGAAUUUAAGUCCAUCAAAAGGGAAGUCUUCUACAGUAUUCUGGACCUCCCUAGGAAAACCAGAUAGCUCUAGCCAAAGUGCUCUACUCAUGACAACAUCAGUAGAUGUGCAGUGGGCUACUGUGUCUCCUGCAUCUAGGGAAGCUAUCAAAAUCAGCUUUUUCUAAGAACUGAGCUUCAGCUAUGAUGGUCUUGAACUGCUCACAGUGUUUUACAGGAGUUCAUCAACUGAAUCUUUGCCUACCCUGCCCCCCACAAUUGUCCAGUGGCUACAUUGGCUGCAGGAUGUGAAGUGUGGAGGACGGUCCUCUGGGGAUGGUGUUGAUGCAGUGUCCUUGCCCAAAGAGGCUAGGUGGCUGCCUUAGUCCAGCAGAGAUAGAAGGCCCUGCCAAGGCAAUGAAAGAGGAUAUUACUUUUUUGUCCAGGAAAAGAAAAAAAAAGUUCCUUCCCUUUUCAUGUUCCACAUCAAAGCAGCAUUAGAAGAUGUUAAUCUGCUGGAUACUCCAGAGUAGAAGAAGGAACAAUUUUUCCAGGCCUCUGGUAGAAGACAGCCAUCUGUCUAUGCAAAGGAGAUAUUUUAUCACCUGGUGAUUGAUCAGCAUAUCAGUGACUGGAGAGGACUAUGCAGUGUUGUUGUAGCCGUGUUGGUCCCAGGAUAUUAUAGAGACAAGUUGGGUGAGGUAAUAUCUUUUAUUGGACCAGCUUCUGUUGGUGAGAGAAACAAACUUUUGAGCUUACACUACUAUGCUACUGGGGUGGAAGGAAGAGAAUGGGGAAAGUUUUGCCCUGCCCAGGUAUAUCAUAGAUUGUCUUGAGUUUCUUGAAAGAGAACUCGAAAUAAUUAGGUGUCAGCAAUUCCUCCCAACAUAUAUUGUUGAGCUUCUAAAGUGCUUUGGGAUGUCUCUGAAUGAAAAAUAUUAUGUAAAGGCCAGAUUUGAUAUUCACUGCCCAAAUCUUUAACGCUAAAAUAAGUUCGACUGGCAGUGCCUCAUGCACUUGCAGAAUGGGAAGUGCACCUAUACUUAAACCUCUGAAAACAAGGAAGUGCACACAGCUCAGCCUUGCAACUUACAUUUUGGCUCCUGGAACUGAGGAUGUACUGUAUAUUUCAGCCUGGACCGUCCUAUAAUCAGGCAUAAGA